rnacentral:rRNA from 1 species
UGAAUACGAGACGCUAAGGCGUCGAAGUAGUGUAUGUCAUACUUCCAAGAAAAGCUUGCACUGUCAUAGAUAAAAAACGCCUGUACCAUAACCGACACAGGUGGGUAGGUAGAGUAUACUAAGGGGCGCGAGAUAACUCUCUCUAAGGAACUCGGCAAAAUAACUCCGUAACUUCGGGAGAAGGAGUGCCUUAUUCGUAAGGUUGCAAUAACAAGAUCCAAGCAACUGUUUAUCAAAAACACAGGUCUCCGCUAAGUCGUAAGACGAUGUAUGGGGGCUGACGCCUGCCCAGUGCCAGAAGGUUAAAGAAGUUGGUUAGCAAUUGCGAAGCUGAUAACUGAAGCCCUGGUGAACGGCGGCCGUAACUAUAACGGUCCUAAGGUAGCGAAAUUCCUUGUCGGGUAAGUUCCGACCCGCACGAAAGGCGUAAUGAUUUGGAUACUGUCUCGGAGAGGGGCUCGGUGAAAUAGACUUGUCUGUGAAGAUGCGGACUACCUGCACCAGGACAGAAAGACCCUAUGAAGCUUUACUGUAACUUGAAAUUGAAAUUGGACUUUAUUCGCGCAGUAUAGGUGGGAGGCGUUGAUUAUAAUCUUGUGGGAUUAUUGGAGCCAUCAGUGAGAUACCACUCUUGUAAUGUUAGAUUUCUAACUUUGAAUCAUUAUCUGGUCAAAGAACAGUUUCAGGCGGGCAGUUUGACUGGGGCGGUCGCCUCCUAAACGGUAACGGAGGCGUACAAAGGUUUCCUCUGAACGGUUAGAAAUCGUAUCUAGAGUGUAAAGGCAUAAGGAAGCUUGACUGUGAGACCUACAAGUCGAGCAGGGACGAAAGUCGGUCUUAGUGAUCUGACGGUACUGAGUGGAAAGGCCGUCACUCAACGGAUAAAAGUUACUCUAGGAUAACAGGCUGAUCUCCCCCAAGAGUUCACAUCGACGGGGAGGUUUGGCACCUCGAUGUCGGCUCAUCGCAUCCUGGGGCGGUAGUACGUCCCAAGGGUUGGGCUGUUCGCCCAUGAAAGCGGUACGCGAGCUGGGUUCAGAACGUCGUGAGACAGUUCGGUCCAUAUCCGGUGUAGGCGUUAGAAUAUUGAGAGGAGCCUUCUUUAGUACGAGAGGACCGAGAAGGACAUACCUCUGGUGUACCAGUUAUCGUGCCAACGGUAAACGCUGGGUAGCUAUGUAUGGAGUGGAUAACCGCUGAAAGCAUCUAAGUGGGAAGCCCACCUCAAGAUAAGUAUUCUC